UGGCCAGCUGGGGUUUGUACCAAAUCGCACCUAACCCCACUCCCAAAUUCAAGGGUAUCAGGGGUGAGAAGAACACGGAAAUUUCUUACAAAAGGUCCAAGUCGAAAGGCAAAAGCCCUUGAAAAAGAAUGACCUUCUUAAAUUCUGAUAUACAGCCACUCUUCUUCCAUCUCUAUUUCGAAAGAGGAACAUACAUACAAGAAACAGGUGACACUGCUGGCCACAAGAGCUGGGAUGUGGUCACAGAAAUAUGAAAAAUUACAGAGGAAAACAGGAGUCACUCUGGAAUCUCAUCUAGGCGAGCUCUAUUUUGAAAGAAUUAAAAGCAGCCAAGAAAGUAUACCGGCUCUCCAAGGAAAAGAGGCCCUCAAAGCUCGGACAGGAAAUGAACUUGGUGCUUCACCAUCCACACACAGGACCCUGGGCAGGGACUUGGAACAGAUUGGGGUUAUUAGGAAACAAGAGAACUUCGGAUCACAAAGCAGCUUUUCAAAACUCCUUAAAGUCAAAAUGUUUCAAGAAUAAGAAAGAAGGACAACUUCAACUCAUGUACCUUUACUUGUCCAGUCUCUUGAUUAGAAUAAAGAGGUUCUCAGCAAUGAAAA